UACGUAGGGUGCAAGCGUUUGUCCGGAAUUAUUGGGCGUAAAGAGCUCGUAGGCGGUCUGUCGCGUCGGCUGUGAAAACCCGGGGCUCAACCCCGGGCCUGCAGUCGAUACGGGCAGACUAGAGUGCGGUAGGGGGAGACUGGAAUUCCUGGUGUAGCGGUGAAAUGCGCAGAUAUCAGGAGGAACACCGGUGGCGAAGGCGGGUCUCUGGGCCGUAACUGACGCUGAGGAGCGAAAGCGUGGGGAGCGAACAGG
rnacentral:rRNA from 1 species